ensembl:snRNA LOC120097656 U6 spliceosomal RNA
GUGCUCGCUUUGGCAGCACAUAUACUAAAAUUUGAACGAUAUAGAGAUUAGCAUGGUCCCUGAGCAAGUAUGACACGCGAAUCGUGAAGCGUUCCAUAUUUUA